rnacentral:lncRNA from 1 species
GGGAACCUUUGAAAUGGGGAUCCCAACAACAGCAAGUCUUUCAUGAGUUAAAGGAAAAACUUCUGGCAGCCCCAGCCCUGGGGCUACCCGAUCUGACCAAGCCUUUUCCAUUGAAUGCGUCAGAUAGAGAAAAGAUGGCAGCUGGACUUUUAACCGAAACUCUGGGACCCUGGCUGUGGCCGGUGGCCUACGUGUCUAAACAACUAGAGAGGGUUUCUAAAGGAUGGCCCCUCAUGUUUGAGGGCUGUGGUAUCAACUGCCCUGAUAGUACGAGAAGCAAAUAAGCUGACUCUUGGGCAAAACCUGAACAUAAAGGCCGCCCAUUUUGGGUUGGGUGACAGCCAUCCCCUCUUCCCCCCCUGCCUUAGGACCCCCAUCGCGGAUCCUAAGAUCUUUAGGACUCACCUGGAGGACUGUGGGUAUUAGGUGUCCAAGAAGAAAGCUCAAAUCUGCCGAUGGCAGGUACCUUACUUGAGAUUUACUCUCUGACAGGGGUCCGACGCCACCUGGGAACAGAAAGAAAGCAGGUUAUUUGCAAUCUCCCGGAGCCUAAGUGCCUAAGGCAGGCGAGAGAAUUCUCAGGGGAUGUGGGGUUUUGUAGACUGUGGAUCCCAAACUUUGCAGUAUUAGCCAAGCCUUUGUAUGAGGUCACAAAGGGGGCGGGGACCGGAACCUUUGGAAUGGGGAUCCAAGAACAGCAAGUCUUUCAUGACUUAAAGGAAAAACUUCUGGCAGCCCCAGCCCUGGGGCUACCCGAUCUGACAAAGCCUUUUCCAUUGUAUGCGUUAGAGAGAGAAAAGAUGGCAGCUGGACUUUUAACCCAAACUGUGGGGCCCUGGCUGAGGCCGGUGGCCUACGUCUCUGAACAACUAGACAGGGUUUCUGAAGGAUGGCUCCCCUGUUUGAGGCCUUGGCAGCAACUGCCCUGCUAGUACAAGAAGCAAAUAAGCUGACUCUUGGGCAAAACCUGAACAUAAAGGCCCCCCAUUUUGUGGUGGCUGAGAGCCAU